rnacentral:rRNA from 1 species
CGGACGGGUGAGUAACGCGUGGGGAACCUACCGUAUGCAGGGGGAUAACAGUUAGAAAUGACUGCUAAUACCGCAUAAGCGCACAAAACCGCAUGGUUUGGUGUGAAAAACUGAGGUGGUAUGAGAUGGACCUGCGUCUGAUUAGCUAGUUGGAGAGGUAACGGCUCACCAAGGCAACGAUCAGUAGCCGACCUGAGAGGGUGACCGGCCACAUUGGGACUGAGACACGGCCCAAACUCCUACGGGAGGCAGCAG